UACGUAGGGACCAAGCGUUGUUCGGAUUUACUGGGCGUAAAGGGCGCGUAGGCGGCAAUUCAAGUCAUCUGUGAAAUCUCCGGGCUUAACUCGGAACGGUCAGAUGAUACUGCUUUGCUAGAGUGCGGAAGGGGCAAUCGGAAUUCUUGGUGUAGCGGUGAAAUGCGUAGAUAUCGGAAGGAACGCCGGUGGCGAAAGCGGCGUGCUGGAUCUCUUCUGACGCUGAGGCGCGAAAGCCAGGGGAGCAAACGGG
rnacentral:rRNA from 1 species